CCUACGGGAGGCAGCAGUGAGGAAUAUUGGUCAAUGGCCGAGAGGCUGAACCAGCCAAGUCGCGUGAGGGAAGACGGCCCUACGGGUUGUAAACCUCUUUUGUCGGGGAGCAAAGCGAGUCACGUGUGACUCAUUGAGAGUACCCGAAGAAAAAGCAUCGGCUAACUCCGUGCCAGCAGCCGCGGUAAUACGGAGGAUGCGAGCGUUAUCCGGAUUUAUUGGGUUUAAAGGGUGCGCAGGCGGAGGUGCAAGUCAGCGGUCAAAUUGAGGGGCUCAACCCCGUACUGCCGUUGACACUGCAGCCCUUGAGUGCGCGAGAAGUAUGCGGAAUGCGUGGUGUAGCGGUGAAAUGCAGAGAUAUCACGCAGAACUCCGAGUGCGAAGGCUGCAUACCGGCGCGCAACUGACGCUCAUGCACGAAAGCGUGGGUAUCGAACAGGAUUAGAUACCCUUGUAGUC
rnacentral:rRNA from 1 species